GACGAACCGUGCAAACGUUGUUCGGAAUCACUGGGCUUAAAGGGCGCGUAGGCGGUUCGUUAAGUCGUGGGUGAAAUCUUUCGGCUCAACCGGAAAAUUGCCUGCGAUACUGGCGAGCUCGAGGGUGGUAGGGGCGAUCGGAACUGCCAGUGGAGCGGUGAAAUGCGUUGAUAUUGGCAGGAACGCCGGUGGCGAAAGCGGAUCGCUGGAUCACUCCUGACGCUGAGGCGCGAAAGCUAGGGGAGCAAACGGGA
rnacentral:rRNA from 1 species